CUUGUCACUAUCUUGCUACUAGGUAGCCUUUUUUUUGAUUACCAGUCGUUCAGCAUCUGGGAAGCUAUCCACAAAGCUGCCACCAGGGGGCAAAACUAUCCAUAAUUUCAAUUUGUCUAUAGAUAAAGGAAGGCAUGUUUAGCCACACUGGUUAACUCUUCCGCUGCUGGAUCCUUGUAUAGUAACUAUUCUAAUAAAACUAUUUAGUUUUUAUCGCU